rnacentral:rRNA from 1 species
GACGAACGCUGGCGGCGUGCUUAACACAUGCAAGUCGAACGGAAAGGCCUUUUCGGAGGUACUCGAGUGGCGCACGGGUGAGUAACACGUGGGUGAUCUGCCCUGCACUCUGGGAUAAGCCUGGGAAACUGGGUCUAAUACCGGAUAGGACCGCACUUUAGUGUGUGUGGUGGAAAGUUUUUUCGGUGUAGGAUGAGCCCGCGGCCUAUCAGCUUGUUGGUGGGGUAAUGGCCUACCAAGGCGGCGACGGGUAGCCGGACUGAGAGGUUGGUCGGCCACAUUGGGGCUGAGAUACGGCCCAGACUCCUACGGGGGGCAGCAGUGGGGAAUAUUGCACAAUGGGCGCAAGCCUGAUGCAGCGACGCCGCGUGGGGGAUGACGGCCUUCGGGUUGUAAACUCCUUUCGCCAGGGACGAAGCGUUUUGUGACGGUACCUGGAGAAGAAGCACCGGCUAACUACGUG